AGUGAACGCUGGCGGUAGGCCUAACACAUGCAAGUCGAACGGCAGCACAGUAAGAGCUUGCUCUUACGGGUGGCGAGUGGCGGACGGGUGAGGAAUACAUCGGAAUCUACUUUUUCGUGGGGGAUAACGUAGGGAAACUUACGCUAAUACCGCAUACGACCUACGGGUGAAAGCAGGGGAUCUUCGGACCUUGCGCGAUUGAAUGAGCCGAUGUCGGAUUAGUUAGUUGGCGGGGUAAAGGCCCACCAAGGCGACGAUCCGUAGCUGGUCUGAGAGGAUGAUCAGCCACACUGGAACUGAGACACGGUCCAGACUCCUACGGGAGGCAGCAGUGGGGAAUAUUGGACAAUGGGCGCAAGCCUGAUCCAGCCAUACCGCGUGGGUGAAGAAGGCCUUCGGGUUGUAAAGCCCUGUUGUUGGGAAAGAAAAGCAGCAGGUUAAUACCCCGCUGUUCUGACGGUACCCAAAGAAUAAGCACCGGCUAACUUCGUG
rnacentral:rRNA from 1 species